rnacentral:rRNA from 1 species
CAGUAGGGAAUCUUCCGCAAUGGGCGCAAGCCUGACGGAGCAACGCCGCGUGAGUGAUGAAGGUUUUCGGAUCGUAAAGCUCUGUUGCCAGGGAAGAACGUCCGGUAGAGUAACUGCUAUCGGAGUGACGGUACCUGAGAAGAAAGCCCCGGCUAACUACGUGCCAGCAGCCGCGGUAAUACGUAGGGGGCAAGCGUUGUCCGGAAUUAUUGGGCGUAAAGCGCGCGCAGGCGGUUAUUUAAGUCUGGUGUUUAAACCUUGGGCUCAACCUGAGGUCGCACUGGAAACUGGGUGACUUGAGUACAGAAGAGGAAAGUGGAAUUCCACGUGUAGCGGUGAAAUGCGUAGAUAUGUGGAGGAACACCAGUGGCGAAGGCGACUUUCUGGGCUGUAACUGACGCUGAGGCGCGAAAGCGUGGGGAGCAAACAGGAUUAGAUACCCUGGUAGUCCACGCCGUAAACGAUGAGUGCUAGGUGUUAGGGGUUUCGAUACCCUUGGUGCCGAAG